GACGAACGCUGGCGGCGUGCCUAAUACAUGCAAGUCGAACGGACAGGCCCUGCUCUUGCGGCGCGCUCGAGAGCCGAACGGGUGAGUAACACGUGUGUAACCUGUCCUUGUCUUACGGAUAUCACUAGGAAACACCGGCUCUUAUCGGAUAGGAGCUCCUGCUCCACGGUGUGGGAUGGUAAGAUUCGGCGGUUGGGGAUGGACUAGCGGCUUAUCAGCUUGUUGGUCGGGUAGUGGCUUACCAAGGUUUCGACGGGUAGCCGGCCUGAGAGGGUGACCGGCCACAUGGGGACUGCGAGACGGCGCAGAAGGCUACGGGAGGCAGCAGUGGAGAAUAUUGCACAAUGGGCGGAAGCGUGAUGCAGCGGCGCCGCGUGCGGGAUAACGGCUUUCGGGUUGUAAACCGCUUUCGACUGAGACGUGGCGUGAGUGACGGUAAUGAGUAAAAAAGCACCGGCUAACUACGUG
rnacentral:rRNA from 1 species